rnacentral:rRNA from 1 species
GUGCAGAAUGUGAACUGCAGGACACAUGAACACCGACAAGUUGAACGCAUAUUGCACAUCGUACAACAGUGCGAUGUACACAUUUUUGAGUGCCCAUAUUCACCUAGCCAACUAUACACGCCCACGCACGAUGCGUAAUGGAUGUUUGCCCGGCUCACGGCUGGUCAAUCAUUUAAGACCUGUGUGCGUGGGAGGGACCGACCGGAGUGUUUGCUUUCUCGAGUGUCUCUUCUGGCGUCACGGCUGGAUGUCCAGAGCGAGCAACCCACUUACGGGCCCCCUUCCAGCCGCGGAUUGGUGGAGGACAACCUUCUCGACGACCCCUUCUGGCGGGCUCGAUGUGCUGUGUGACAACACCAGACCAUCGCUAGAGACGGAUGGCGGAGAAGCAGCGAUCGGCAAGCAGUAAGAGAGACAUUGGGCCUCAAAUAAUGUGUGACUACCCCCUAAAUUUAAGCAUAUCGACAC